AAAUACACCGAAAUGGCGGAUUUUAAAAAGUGGUGCAAAGCUUAAACUUUAUUUUGUUUUCUAAGAUACAAAAUUCACAGCUACGAUAAACCAUGAGUGACGUGCAAUCACAAGGUUUACAAUGGACUUCAUUUGAAGAUCCUAAUAUAUCUGUUGAGCAAGUUGUUGAACACGAAACUGAUAGUGAUGAACCCAAUCCCAGGAUUUGUGAAGACAACAGGGAAAAUGAGCCAAAUGUGCAGAACAAAACAGAAGAAAACGCGCUCGAAGACGCUUUCGAGCCAACGUUGGUAACUGAAUCGUUACCAGCGCAUAAUAAACCUCGUAAUAAAACAGAGAAAGAACUCAGAGAAUGUAGAUAUUGUUCCUAUCAAGCAGAAGAUUGGCCGCAAUUUAGCAGACACGUUUUCACCACAAAACACAUAAAGAGAGUUGCCGAAGCCUUUAACAUAAGAUUAACCAAGGAUCAAAUGACCUGCUUUACAUGUGAAUUGUGUAAGGUCACCUGUCAAGGGCCAACAAGUUUCCACGAUCAUAUGACCGGAGGAAGACAUGUAAAGAACCUGUUACAACAAGUCGCUCAGGAGGAAAGUAAAAGUAAAACAGGCAAAAUGGUGACUAGCAUUUUGGCGAAUUCGAAAAAACCUUACGACAGACCUGCAAAACCAAAGGCGAAGACUAAAGCUGUUGCAUCGCCCACCACACAAUUCGCAAACCAUCCCCAGCCUUUAAUAGGCCUGGAGUACGUUACGGAAAUCCAGGCUCCUGAAAAUGUGGUUAAAUACGAGUGCUCUGCGUGUAAAAUGAAAUUUGACAAUGGUGUUAAAUUUCUUCACCUGGUCGGACAAAAACAUCGUUUGAAUGUGUUGAAAAUAAAGCGGCCUGAGUUUGCGAAACAGUUGAACAGCGGUGGUAAAAAGCGCUCGGCUGAAAUUUCAACUGAAUGCCUUAAAGAAGCGAUGGCUUUGGAAAUGGAAGAAGGACGGCAAGAAAUAAAAGUUAAGGUCGAGAAGUUGCCCGUUGGCAAUCAGCAAACAGUUAAAGCUCGUGGAAUACGCGAUGGGAGCUCGCCUGCCAAAAAUGUGCGAGGAAAAGGAAAUGUGAACAGGGGCGUCUCGAACAUUAGACCACAAAAUUUGCCAUCGCAAAGAAGCGCAUUCAAUUUCCGCGGGUCUUAUGAAAGUGCAUCUUUUUCACCAAGUCUUUCUUACGAAAAUUACAACAACGCCCAUACUUCGACGUUUCGUCAAAUGUCUUUCAGUGAGAGCUACCGUGCUGCUAACUAUGGUGGCGAUUCUGGACAAAGCUCUCAAUACGGACAGACGUAUACAAACCUUAUCGCACCGUCUUCGAAUCAAGGUUACUUACCGAUUUCACCUGCCCCUCCCCAUAUCCUGUCGCAUUCUAAAGCGGAAGUCUUUGUAAAAAAAUCCCCGUGUCUCGCGAAUGCUCUUGGAGACUUGUCCGAUUUGAUAAAAACUAACGACGAUGCCUCCAUGGCUCUUCAAGUUUCCAAUGCACUAACGAAAGCGCUGCUGCAGCUCAAAAGAGCCAGUGGAAGGGAAUAAUCAGUCACGACACAUCAGGAGCGGUCAAUUCUCACAGAUUUUAAAGCUCUGUCAAGAUUGUUAAUGGCAGGGACGAAAAAGAUUUUCAAACUCUGACUGACCUGUAAAUGAUUAUUGCUCCUUAAAAAACGCGUGGAAAAGGUGAUCUAUUCUUUCCAACCAAGAACAGUUUUAGACAAGAGAAGUGAGCUCAGCUGAAAUGAUUGCAUUCAAGGCGAUCUUGCUGUGGUUAGUGUGGGACGUCGCCUUUUGAAGUGCACAACUUCAUUAUAUAUUGUUUGGAGAUGAUCUGUAAACACAUCUCAGUUAGCUAGUGUCUGGUCGUCGAGGUUUCUAUGGGACUUUGUCAAGCUAAGUGAUUUCAAAUUCUUUUUUGCACAAAUUUACCUUGGUUUACAAAUGGUUUCGUCAAUGCGUUUUCACCCUGAAAAACUUUAGAGCAUGCGCAAUUAUUCAUUUAAGUUUCCUAUCUUUUUUUGUUCUCUUUUGCCUGUUAUUGUUUUCAUUGCAGGUUAAGUGAGAGAAUCACAAUCUCGAAGCCAAAAGCAGCGAAUAGUCCAAAUACUUUCUUUCAUGCUUGAUUGCGGUGCAUUCAUUUCAAUAGUUUCUGACGUACUGUCCAUGAAUCAUAAGGAUGACGCUAACAAGUUGUCUGGUUGUGGCCAGGGAAUUAAUUCUUAGCUUCAAGACCAGACGCCUAGUGACAAUGGAAUAUAGCAAAGUACUGCCAAUAAACGAGGCAGAGCUAACUUUUCUCAUAUUCUUGUAUACAGCCGAUGCUAUAUCACCCGUAGAAUGAAUAUAUGAAUUGAACUUUGAAGUUGCAAAUGGUGAUUAUGACUAAGAUUAUGAUUAAGAUUAUGAUUAAGAUUACUAUAAUUUACAAGUAUCAGAAAUACAGCUUUUAAUAACUAUAA